GUGGAGCGGCAGCAGCGGCGCCCCCAACGCGAGGCAUGGCGGCAAGGUCUCAGCUUCCUGACGCUGAGACACGAGAGAUUAGGACGGUGUGGCCUCAAGCCCUCAACCUAUUGGCAUGAAGGUAACCCUGGGCAUGGCGGCAAGGUCUCAGCCUCCUGACGCGGAGACAUGGAGGAUUAGGACGGCGUGGCCUCAAGGCCUCAACCUAUUGGCAUGAAGUUUUGUAGGUCAUACCCGAAGUGUUCGCUUGACCCGUCGUGCUAGGCCGUAACCUUGCCAGUCCUGUGAGUUGUGGAGCCCAGCCAGAGUUGUUAUGCUGUCAAACCAAGACUUUUGUCGCCAUUUAAAUAAGUUUCCGCUGCCAUUUCAAUAGCCUUAGAACUAUGUCAGAUAAUUGUAUUCAUCAAUGAUGUAAUCUUUUAUACAUGUAUUUGAUGAAUAUUCUUGUACCUGGAAUGCUGUAUUAUGGACCUAUCGUGCGUCAGGUGUUAUCCUGGGCUGACGUGCAAAGGCCCCCUGCUCCAUGCAGAUCGGGGUGCCACAACUCGGGAGG
rnacentral:rRNA from 1 species